ensembl:lncRNA
AAGGAGGUCCUGGGAGGAGAUGUGGAGACACAGGGAGGGAGGUCCUGGGAGGAGAUGUGGAGACACAGGGAGGGAGGUCCUGGAAAGAGAGGUGGAGACACAAGGAGGAAGGCCUUGGAAGGAGAUGUGGAGACAUGGAGACACGGAGAGGGAGGUCCUGGGAGGAGACAUGGAGAAACAGAAAGGGAGGUCCUGGGAGGAGACAUGGAGAAACAGAAAGGGAGGUCCUGGGAGGAGACAUGGAGAAACAGAAAGGGAGGUCCUGGGAGGAGACAUGGAGAAACAGAAAGGGAGGUCCUGGGAGGAGACAUGGAGAAACAGAAAGGGAGGUCCUGGGAGGAGACAUGGAGACACAGAGAGGGAGGUCCUGGGAGGAGACAUGGAGACACAGAGAGGGAGGUCCUGGGAGGAGACAUGGAGACACGGAGAGACAGAGAGGGAGGUCCUGGCGUGGCUGCUGCUAGUCUACACAGACUCCUCUGCUUCCUCUUUAAUCAGUAACCAGAGGAGGAAGGGGCGGGGCGGAGGGAGGGAAGGAGGGCGACUGGGGGUUAGGACCAGACUCCCCUAAUUACAUGUACUGUACAGUAACGCAUUAUACACUGCUGACCAAUACCUGACCAAUACUGUACUGUAGAAACAUUGUAGAACACAGAUAAUAUCAAUUUACAAUAU